UACGUAGGGGGCAAGCGUUAUCCGGAUUUACUGGGUGUAAAGGGAGCGUAGACGGUGAUGCAAGUCAGAAGUGAAAGCCCGCAGCUCAACUGCGGGACUGCUUUUGAAACUGCCAGGCUAGAGUGUCGGAGAGGUAAGUGGAAUUCCUAGUGUAGCGGUGAAAUGCGUAGAUAUUAGGAGGAACACCAGUGGCGAAGGCGGCUUACUGGACGAUGACUGACGCUGAGGCUCGAAAGCGUGGGGAGCAAACAGG
rnacentral:rRNA from 1 species